rnacentral:rRNA from 1 species
GGCCAGACUCCUACGGGAGGCAGCAGUGAGGAAUAUUGGUCAAUGGGCGAGAGCCUGAACCAGCCAAGCCGCGUGAGGGAAGACGGCCCUAUGGGUUGUAAACCUCUUUUGUCGGAGAACAAAACCCGGGACGUGUCCCGGACUGCGUGUAUCCGAAGAAAAAGCAUCGGCUAACUCCGUGCCAGCAGCCGCGGUAAUACGGAGGAUGCGAGCGUUAUCCGGAUUUAUUGGGUUUAAAGGGUGCGUAGGCGGUCCUUUAAGUCAGCGGUAAAAUUGCGGGGCUCAACCCCGUCGAGCCGUUGAAACUGGCAGACUUGAGUUGGCGAGAAGUACGCGGAAUGCGCGGUGUAGCGGUGAAAUGCAUAGAUAUCGCGCAGAACUCCGAUUGCGAAGGCAGCAUGCCGGCUCCACACUGACGCUGAGGCACGAAAGCGUGGGUAUCGAACAGGAUUAGAUACCCGAGUAAAG